GUCACGCUGUAAACGAUGUCGAUUUGGAGUUUGUUGCCUAGAGUGAUGGGCUCCGAAGCUGACGCGAUAAAUCGACCGCCUGGGGAGUACGGCCGCAAGGUUAAAACUCAAAUGAAUUGACGGGGGCCCGCACAAGCGGUGGAGCAUGUGGUUUAAUUCGAUGCAACGCGAAGAACCUUACCUGGUCUUGACAUCCAUAGAAUUCUGCAGAGAUGUGGGAGUGCCUUCGGGAACUAUGAGACAGGUGCUGCAUGGCUGUCGUCAGCUCGUGUUGUGAAAUGUUGGGUUAAGUCCCGCAACGAGCGCAACCCUUAUUCUUUGUUGCCAGCGAUUUGGUCGGGAACUCAAAGGAGACUGCCGUUGAUAAAGCGGAGGAAGGUGGGGACGACGUCAAGUCAUCAUGGCCCUUACGACCAGGGCUACACACGUGCUACAAUGGCGUAUACAAAGGGAAGCGAAGGUGCGAGCUGGAGCGGAUCUCAUAAAGUACGUCUAAGUUCGGAUUGGAGUCUGCAACUCGACUCCAUGAAGUCGGAAUCGCUAGUAAUCGUAGAUCAGAAUGCUACGGUGAAUACGUUCCCGGGCCUUGUACACACCGCCCGUCACACCAUGGGAGUGGGUUGCACCAGAAGUAGAUAGCUUAACCGCGAGGGGGGCGUUUACCACGGUGUGAUUCAUGACUGGGGUGAAGUCGUAACAAGGUAACCA
rnacentral:rRNA from 1 species